rnacentral:rRNA from 1 species
AUUGAACGCUGGCGGCAGGCCUAACACAUGCAAGUCGAGCGGAUGAAGGGAGCUUGCUCCUGGAUUCAGCUGCGGACGGGUGAGUAAGGCCUAGGAAGCUGCCUGGUAGUGGGGGAUAACGUCCGGUAACGGGCGCUAAUACCGCAUACGUCCUGAUGUAGAAAGUGGGGGAUCUUCGGACCUCACGCUAUUAGAUGAGCCUAGGUCGGAUUAGCUAGUUGGUGGGGUAAAGGCUUACCAAGGCGACGAUCCGUAACUGGUCUGAGAGGAUGAUCAGUCACACUGGAACUGAGACACGGUCCAGACUCCUACGGGAGGCAGCAGUGGGGAAUAUUGGACAAUGGGCGAAAGCCUGAUCCAGCCACGCCGCGUGUGUGAAGAAGGUCUUCGGAUUGUAAAGCACUUUAAGUUGGGAGGAAGGGAAGUAAGUUAAUCCCUUGCUGUCUUGACGGUACCAACAGAAUAAGCACCGGCUAACUUCGUG